rnacentral:rRNA from 1 species
UGGUUUAAUUCGAUGCAACGCGAAGAACCUUACCAGGGUUUGACAUCCUGCGAAUCUCUUGGAAACGAGAGAGUGCCUUCGGGAACGCAGUGACAGGUGGUGCAUGGCUGUCGUCAGCUCGUGUCGUGAGAUGUUGGGUUAAGUCCCGCAACGAGCGCAACCCACGUCUUUAGUUGCCAGCAUUUAGUUGGGCACUCUAGAGAGACCGCCGGUGAUAAACCGGAGGAAGGUGUGGAUGACGUCAAGUCAUCAUGC